rnacentral:snRNA from 1 species
GGAUGUGAGGGUGAUCUGGCUGCGACAUCUGUCACCCCAUUGAUCGCCAGGGUUGAUUCCGCUGAUCUGGCUGGCUAGGCGUGUGUCCCCUUCCUCCCUCACCGCUCCAUGUGCGUCCCUCCCGAAGCUGCGCGCUUGGUCAAAGAGGACGACCUUCCCCGCUAGAGGAGGACCGGUCUUCCGUCAAGGGUAUACGAGUAGCUGCGCUCCCCCGGUAGAACCUCCAAACAAGCUCUGAAGAAAGUUAUUUUCUCACUACGGGUUUAUAGUUACUUUCUUGACAUUAAGUCAUAAACAUAAAAUAUUUGCAACUUU